CCCCAUAACUACAAUGACCCCAAAGUCAUCGUGACCCCAAACCCACCAUGACCCCAUACCCACAGUGACCCCAUAGCCACAACGACUCUAUAGCCAGUGUGACCCCAUACCCACCAUGACCCCAUAACCACAGUGACCCCAAACCCACAAUGACCCCAAACCCACCAUGACCCCAUACCCACAAUGGCCCCAUAACCACAAUGACCCCAUACCCACAGUGACCCCAUACCUACAGUGACCCCAUAACCACCACGACCCCAUAACCACAAUGACCCCAUAGCCAGUGUGACCCCAUAUCCUCAAUGACCCUAUAACCAUCAUGACUCCAUACCAAGCAUGAUCCCAUAGCCACAAUGACCCCAUAACCACAAUGACCCCAUAACCACCAUGACCCCAUAACCACCGUGACCCCAUACCCACCGUGACCCCAUAAGCACAGUGACCCCAUAGCCACAAUGAUCCCAUAACCAUCACGACCCCAUACCCACAAUGACCCCAUACCCACCAUGACCCCAUAACCACCAUGACCCCAAACCCACAAUGACCCCAAACCCACAACGACCCCAUACCCACAAUGACCCCAUAACCACCAUGACCCCAAACCCGCAAUGACCCCAAACCCACAAUGACCCCAUAUCCUCAAUGACCCCAUACCCACAGUGACCCCAUACCCUCAAUGUCCCCAUAUCCACCAUGAUCCCAUAACCACAGGUGACCCCAUAACCACAGUGACCCCAUACCCACAGGGACCCCAAACCCACAAUGACCCCAUAACCACCAUGACCCCAUAACCACCACGACCCCAUACCCACAGUGACCCCAAUACCACCGUGACCCCAUAACCACCACGACCCCAAACCCACAAUGACCCCACAGCCGAUUUGGGGUUGGCGCCUCCUUUAUUGCACAGAUCAGUGGGGACAGCAAUGGGGUUUGGGGUCACCCCAAGAAGAAAUAUGGGAUGGUUUGGGGUCACCCCAAGAAGAAAUAUGGGAUGAGAUUGGGGUCAUCCCAAGAAAUCUGGGAUGGAGAGGUUUGGGGUCACCUGGGG
rnacentral:lncRNA from 1 species